UACGUAGGGAGCAAGCGUUGUCCGGAAUCAUUGGGCGUAAAGCGCGCGUAGGCGGCCCGAUAAGUCCGCUGUGAAAGUCAACGGCUCAACUGUUGAAAGCCGGUGGAUACUGUCGGGCUAGAGUACGGAAGAGGCAAGUGGAAUUCCUGGUGUAGCGGUGGAAUGCGCAGAUAUCAGGAGGAACACCUAUAGCGAAGGCAGCUUGCUGGGACGUUACUGACGCUAAGGCGCGAAAGCGUGGGGAGCAAACAGG
rnacentral:rRNA from 1 species